UCGUGCGGCACGUUGUGAACGGAGCGAAGUGUGGCGCGAGUGUCUCCCUAGUCGUGAUGCGUCGGCGCGAUUCACAACAGCCGCCGCAGACAGACCUCCGUUCAUGCUGCGUUUCGUCUCCAUACAGACGACGCCCGCUACUGUGGCGCCAUCUCGUAGCCAUCGUCGCCGCAAAGCCCGUCAUGCGCGGCACAUUUUUCUUCUCACGCUUUCGCCAUGCCCUCCUCCUCCGCUUUUCUCCUCACGCUCUCUUUGCUAUCGCAGUCUUUCAUCCGCGCUCCGCGUUCACUCUUUCAUCCGUUUGCUGUGCUUGUUCGCUUGCUUAUGAGGACGCCGAGGGAUGACACCGAUGCUCGCCGCAGAAACGGGCGCCUAAGAGCUCCAAAAAAUUAUAAUGGGCACUCGAAUGUUCAGGCGUUAUAAAAAGAAAAUCUAGCUUAUUAACUGGUAUGCAGUAAAAUAUGAAAAGUUGGGACAUUUGGUCAUACCGACAGGGUCAAGUUGGGAUAUGGGACAUUUACUCAGAUGUCCGCGCUGUCUAGUAAAUUAGGGACGGUUGGUAACCCAACCAUUAGAUGAACAAUUGCAGCGGCACAGCUCGCUCUCAGUAAGCUUAGUAAGAAGCUAUGGAACACAUGGCAUAAUGGCGCUCCCCCUCAAUGAAAGGUGGGCUUGCACGUUUGCUCGGAACAGCGGUCACCAUUGCAGGCUAUGCGUGCCGCAAGUUCUCUGUUUCACCGGCAUUCAUUCAAUCUACGCAGCGCGCAUUUUCGCUGCAAACACGGCGAACACGUGAUAGAUAGGUUGUCGUGCCGUCUCAUGUGACGAAUAAGAUAAGAAACCGACAGUUGCGCUGCUUCGAUGAAACCGAAGGGGGGAAGCAGCGCAACGUCGCCAGUUGACAGCACUAACCAGAAAAGCUGCAAGCCCACACCUGGCAAUGGGUAGUCCCUAUGUGGCCGUCACGGCUCGUGCACACCCCCGGUGGCUCGUUGCCAACGGUAUGCGCCAACGUAGCAGCUACCGCCAAGCAUCGCAUGUUCUGUGAACAGCCGCGGACAACGGGAGGACAGGACAAGGCUGCAGGACAAGCACACUGACCACCCUGCAGGCUAACGACCCCUUGUGUCGUCAAUAGCCGCAGCCGCACGAGGCUACUGUACACCGCCAGGGCCAUAACACGCGGGGCUCGAGGCGGAGGGAGAUGCCUGCGGUCAGCGAAGGGGGUCGAACCGGGGGUGGCGGCGAGGCUGCAAGUAUGCAGCCCGCCGUUUGCGGGACUGUCUCCUCAACGACUUUGAUGCACCUUGGUAUCUGAGAAGAACAGAGCCUGUUGCCCUCUUGAAGCCGAAACUCUGCAAGAAUACACGAAUGUAAUAGCGACUUAUGGUCAAUAGUGGUUGCAGCGAAGCAAAUUGCACUUGGUGGAUUUUUUGAAUGUUUUAAUAGGAUUACUGAUGAU